AGUGAACGCUGGCGGUAGGCCUAACACAUGCAAGUCGAACGGCAGCACAGUAAGAGCUUGCUCUUACGGGUGGCGAGUGGCGGACGGGUGAGGAAUACAUCGGAAUCUACUUUUUCGUGGGGGAUAACGUAGGGAAACUUACGCUAAUACCGCAUACGACCUACGGGUGAAAGCAGGGGAUCUUCGGACCUUGCGCGAUUGAAUGAGCCGAUGUCGGAUUAGCUAGUUGGCGGGGUAAAGGCCCACCAAGGCGACGAUCCGUAGCUGGUCUGAGAGGAUGAUCGGCCACCCUGGACCUGAGACCCGGUCCAGACUCCUACGGGAGGCAGCAGUGGGAAAUAUUGACCAAUGGGCGCAAGCCUGAUCCAGCCAUACCGCGUGGGUGAAGAAGGCCUUCGGGUUGUAAAGCCCUUUUGUUGGGAAAGAAAAGCAGCAGGUUAAUACCCCGCUGUUCUGACGGUACCCAAAGAAUAAGCACCGGCUAACUUCGU
rnacentral:rRNA from 1 species